rnacentral:rRNA from 1 species
AGGACGAACGCUGGCGGCGUGCUUAACACAUGCAAGUCGAACGAUGAAAGAGGAGCUUGCUCCUCUGGAUUAGUGGCGAACGGGUGAGUAACACGUGAGCAAUCUGCCCCUGACUCCGGAAUAACUACGGGAAACUGUAGCUAAUACCGGAUAUGCGCCGAACAGGCAUCUGUAUCGGGUGGAAAGAUUUCGGCAGGGAUGAGCUCGCGGCCUAUCAGCUUGUUGGUGAGGUACGGCUCACCAAGGCGACGACGGGUAGCCGGCCUGAGAGGGUGACCGGCACAUUGGGACUGACGACACGGCCCAGACUCC